rnacentral:misc_RNA from 1 species
GAAAUGCGAUAAGUAAUGUGAAUUGCAGAAUUCCGUGAAUCAUCGAAUCUUUGAACGCACAUUGCGCCCUCUGGUAUUCCCGGGGGCAUGCCUGUCCGAGCGUCAUUGCGAACCCCUCAAGCACGGCUUGUGUGAUGGGCCCUCCCGCGUCUUGGUCGUCAAGACGGGCCCGAAAUGCAGUGGCGGCUUCGCGGUUAUCCGAUCAGCCAGAGCGUAUGGGGACUCUCUCUCUGUCACACGCCCGCGGCGCGGACCGACGCCUGUCGACCUUUAUUCAUCCCUUCUCGGUUGACCUCGGAUCAGGUAGGGAUACACGCUGAACUUAAGC